rnacentral:rRNA from 1 species
GACAGAGGGGGCAAGCGUUGUCCGGAAUCAUUGGGCGUAAAGCGCGUGUAGGCGGUCCGGUAAGUCCGCUGUGAAAGUCGGGGGCUCAACCCUCGAAUGCCGGUGGAUACUGUCGGGCUCGAGUGCGGAAGAGGCGAGUGGAAUUCCUGGUGUAGCGGUGAAAUGCGCAGAUAUCAGGAGGAACACCGAUUGCGAAGGCAGCUCGCUGGGACGUUACUGACGCUGAGACGCGAAAGCGUGGGGAGCAAACAGG